ensembl:lncRNA
GAGAGCUCAGAUGCGCUGCUGCUCCGCCAGGAUCCCGCGGCCCGGGCCGACCUUUCCCUACUGCUUUCAACGCUCUUCUGCGCCGGAACUUUACAUCACGGACAGAAAGACACGCAGGGUCAUCCCCCAAGGGCGUUGAUCUGGGUCAGAUCAUUUAUCGCUGAUCACUCCACCCCACCUUUCCCAGCCUUUCAUCAGGCAUUUCCUGGACUUCCUGGUUUCUUGGCCCAGUCCAGCUGAGAGUCCACCUGCUCCGCUCAGAGAUCCAGCUCACUUUCCCAUGACGGCUGGACUCAAUUAUCGGCUCAGAAAAACCACCGCGUUGAGGUGAAUUUAGAUGUGAUUGUCUGCCGAAUGGAGAAAAAGAGUCCAGCGCUACAGUGACAGAUUCUUGGGGUUUCCUGGUGUGGAGUCCCCAAAGAAAAGAUACAUCAAUAGGGAGACACUCAUGCUCCUUUUCUUUUGGAUCUGGACUGCAGAUUGCAACAGAUUGGACAUCUGGAAAGCCGGCAGGAUUCCCAGAGGAGCCUUUCCCUCAAGGAUCAUACAAGACUAUUUGUGGAAACCGCCAACUAUACCCUCUACCUGGACUACUGCAGUUGUCCGGAGAUGGUCCUUGAGGGAAUUUUGCCCGCUUUUGUGGAAUGGGUGCUGGUGUCCUGUGGAUCGCCUCUGAUUGUGGACAUCGCGGAUGACACCAGCCCCACUCCGGACCCAGAGCCCAGCCCACAAUCUCCCCGCUGCGCAGAGCCUAAGCCAAAGCCCACCGCUGAUGGAGAGCCAGAGCCCACUGCGACUGAUGAGCCAUUGCCAUGGAGAGCGACAGAGCUGAGGAUCGCCUCGGAGCUUAAGCCUGACCAGUCAGACCAGGUGCGAAAGCCGGCAACAGAGCUUGCCACGGUGGAGAAUGCUAUGAAUGGCGAGAGCAC